rnacentral:rRNA from 1 species
GACGAACGCUGGCGGCGUGCUUAACACAUGCAAGUCGAACGGAAAGGCUCCAGCUUGCUGGAGUACUCGAGUGGCGAACGGGUGAGUAACACGUGGGUAAUCUGCCCUGCACUCUGGGAUAAGCCUGGGAAACUGGGUCUAAUACUGGAUAUGACCUUUCUCCUUAUGGGGUUUGGUGGAAAGUUUUUCGGUGUAGGAUGAGCCCGCGGCCUAUCAGCUUGUUGGUGGGGUGAUGGCCUACCAAGGCGACGACGGGUAGCCGGCCUGAGAGGGUGAUCGGCCACUUGGGUCCUGCGGUACGCCCCAGACUCCGACGGGGGGCAGGGGGGGGGAAUAUUGCACAGGGGGGGGAGGCGUGAUGCGGCGGCCCCGGGGGGGGGAGGGGGGCUUGGGGGUGAAAAACCUCUUGCAGCAGGGAGGAAGCGUAGGUGACGGUCCCUGAAGAAGAAGCACCGGCUAACUAUGUG